CCGUAACAUGAGGCUGUGGCUGAGUGCAGCAAUUUAUAUCUGUAUAACAGGUCUUUCCAGGGCAGACAGUGUCAAUCAACCAACCUCUUAUGUGACUGUAGAUGAUGGGGAUGACAAAACAUUGAACUGUACGUAUGAGACAGCUGACAGCAACCCAUAUCUCCACUGGUACAUUCAAAAACCAGGCGAGAGACCUCAGUUUAUAUUACUGAGACAUCUGUUCAGCAAAGUGGAGAAAAUACCUGGUGAAAAACAUGAAUCUGAAGUAGAUAAAGAGACCAAAUCCACAUACCUGAAGAUUUCUGAUGUCACAGUGUCUGACUCUGGGGUGUAUUAUUGUGCUCUGAGGCCCACAGUGUCUUUGUCUGCAGACUGCACUGUACAAGAAGCCCUGACUCUGUCCAAGGUGCUGACACAAGGAUGUAUAACCAGUUCAUGA